UAGCUAGUUGGUGGGGUAAGGGCCUACCAAGGCGACGAUCGGUAGCUGGUCUGAGAGGAUGGCCAGCCACACUGGAACUGAGACACGGUCCAGACUCCUACGGGAGGCAGCAGUGGGGAAUAUUGGACAAUGGGGGCAACCCUGAUCCAGCAAUGCCGCGUGUGUGAAGGAGGCCUGAGGGUUGUAAAGCACUUUUAGUGGGGAGGAGGAUUGUUAGGUUAAGAGCUAGGCAAUUGGACGUUACCCACAGAAAAAGCACCGGCUAACUCCGUGCCAGCAGCCGCGGUAAUACGGGGGGUGCGAGCGUUAAUCGGAAUUACUGGGCGUAAAGGGUGCGUAGGUGGUUUAAUAAGUUAUCUGUGAAAGCCCUGGGCUCAACCUGGGAAGGUCAGAUAAGACUGUUAGACUAGAGUAUAGGAGAGGGUAGUGGAAUUUCCGGUGUAGCGGUGAAAUGCGUAGAGAUCGGAAGGAACACCAGUGGCGAAGGCGGCUACCUGGCCUAAUACUGACACUGAGGCACGAAAGCGUGGGGAGCAAGCAGGAUUCGAUACCCUGGUAGUCCACGCCGUAAACGAUGUCAACUAGCUGUUGGUCAUAUAAAUAUGAUUAGUGGCGC
rnacentral:rRNA from 1 species